UCAUCUUACCACAUAUCUCUCUAACCGUAUAUCCCCAAAUUACAAAAUCCAAUUCUUUCACUUUGGUUUACGAUCAACCAAACGCAGCUAUAGCUUUGCACUCCGGUAUAGGUUUUUCCAAGAUCCUCGUCAUAGCCGGAAAUUCCAGUUACUCACUCCGCCCAACCCAGGAAAUUCCAAUCCAAAAAGUAACAAUCUUGAGGUCUAUGAACUCGUGCGAUCAAAAUAAAAUUGAUCGAACAGAAUCAAGGUCUGUGAAGAUAGAUCGAGAGGUAAAUUGAUCGAACAGGAGAGAAUCUCAACGGCUUUCUCCUCUCUUUCUCUCAACUCAACCAGGGCUGCCAAUUUCUGGACCUCCUCUCACUUCAAACAGCUUCUGGAUCAAGACGAGGUGGAUGUGGCUCACUCAUUGGACAAGGAGAAAGGCAUCACUGUCGAAGACUUGAAGCUCAUCAAAAUGGAGAUGGCCAAUUGUUGUAGCUACUGCUGUAACAUAUAUGAGGCGUGUGUAUACCAGGUACCUUAGGUGAAAAAUUGCGUUGUGAUCUGAAUCUUGUUGAUUUUUGUAGUUUGGGUUUUCAAGUGGCUUUGUAACGAUCCUAUGAAGUUUCACAUUAGCAUAUAGGAUGAAUUAGGUCGACAAAUAUAUAAUUUUUGCGAAAAUUUGAGCCACCAUAGACUUGAUAAUUUUUUUA